AGCAGCCGCGGUAAUUCCAGCUCCAAUAGCGUAUAUUAAAGUUGUUGCAGUUAAAAAGCUCGUAGUUGAAUUUCGGGGUUAGUAGGUUGGUCAUGCCUCUGGUAUGUACUGGUCUCACUGAUUCCUCCUUCCUGAUGAGCCGUAAUGCCAUUAAUUUGGUGUUGCGGGGAAUUUGGACUGUUACUUUGAAAAAUUAGAGUGUUUAAAGCAAGCUAACGCUUGAAUACAUUAGCAUGGAAUAAUGAAAUAGGACGUUCGAUCCUAUUUUGUUGGUUUCUAGGAUUGACGUAAUGAUUAAUAGGGAUAGUUGGGGGCAUUAGUAUUCAAUUGUCAGAGGUGAAAUUCUUGGAUUUAUUGAAGACUAACUACUGCGAAAGCAUUUGCCAAGGAUGUUUUCAUUAAUCAAGAACGAAAGUUGGGGGAUCGAAGACGAUCAGAUACCGUCGUAGUCUUAACCAUAAACUAUGCCGACUAGGGAUCGGAUGAUGUUAAUUUUUAAUGUACUCAUUCGGCGCCUUAA
rnacentral:rRNA from 1 species